CCAUUAAGAGAAAGUGAAACCUAACUCUAUACAAAAGACAUACCUGCAACAGAGUGAUUCAGAGGGGAAAAUAGAAGCAUGGGCAAAAUUUUACCAAAUAAAUACAAGUAAACAAAAAGGGAAGGUCACAAUUUUGGGAGCGGGGAGGUGACAAACUUUUAAUACUAGGUAAGAUUGAAUUCAGGCUCCAAAUCACUAAAUGAGACCAAAAAGUUUAUAAACAAGAGGGUAAAAUUGAAAAUUAAAAUAUACUAGUUAUGAUUCUGUAUUGUAUACCAAAUAACUUGGAUACACUAUUUAAAGGACAAAAACUACUGAAAAAGAGUUUAACUUUUCUUGAACUUUUUCUUGAACCUAAAAACAACAACACUUUUCUUGAAUCUAUCAGAGAGCUGAGUUACAAGGCAACCUAUUGAACUGAAUUUUAAAAAGUCACAAGGUCCUCUAAGGAGAGACAGAACAUACGAACUGCUUCACCUUUGGCGGAGAACAAGAGGAAGAUGUGGCUUCCAUAGAAGCAGAGGGAGCUGGUUGUUAAACAUUUACCAGAACACCACUUGUUAGGACCUACAGAGCUAUUCUUACCUGAUGUCAGAACAGCCCCUGAGUUCAGAACUGCCCCUAAGUUUCAGUUACUCCAGUCAACCGCAGUCGGGAGGCGGAUGAUCCUCCUUCUGACGAAUCAUCAGAAGGCCAACAGUGGACUAACGUAAUGCUGCGCUAGACUGCAUCUCAAUGCCUACGUUAUUUGCGUCCGUCACACAUUUGAUCGUUUCGAAUCCUCCUGAGAAGGAGCAGGGGAGGGCACAACAUGGACAUGAAAUACUUCUUGAAUGUUGCCAGUACUUUGCUAUAGGAGUGAAGCCAUCACCCUCAGAUUGCCUGCUCACUUCAG